UCACGGCCGACUGCGGUUACGCAACUCAUUAAUUAAUUUAAUAAUUAAGAAAACAGUUUCAUUUCAGUUUCAGUAAUCGACUAUAAGUUUAAGCUAAAAAAGAAUUCAAUCAAACACAAAUUUGAACAAUAUUAUAUAGGGAAAUGAAUUUGUCCUUUCACACAGGGACCAGCGAGUUUGAUGUACCCCUAACGUAGCUGAAUUUCAUGAGCUAGAAUUACCACUCACCAUUAUAAGAGUCCUAGGGACGCCUGCCGUCUAAAACAAUGAAAAAGAAACGAAUAACUGGAAUAACAUCGAUUUCGCGGCUGCCGAAUGAUAAAGACCCAAGUAUGCUGUUGAAGGUAGACCAGCUUGCGCCCACACAGGAAUACCAGGUUUACACCCAAACUCCUAGACGUCAUCAAGCGUCAUUCGUCCCUUCUUUAAGAGAAACACAUGACGUCAUAACUUAUCGUGCUCAUCCCGUACUCAUCUUCCGGCGUGACCUAACAAAUAAAUAAACCAAAUGUUGGUGUCGUAGAAAGUACAACAAAACCGUGUUAUAGCGUAAAGCAGGUGCGAACGACCUUCCCGUCCCGGGGCAGUGACAAGGAAUUCCAGUGAACGACCGCACCUGUGAAUUCGCGUUGGUUUCUAAAUUCGAAAUCAGUCGUGUCCUUGUACCUACCUACCGACGUCUUACCUACAUUGAUAAUGUGUUCUAUGAAUACUAUAUUUUAACUAAUUUAUUUCAUGGGUAUUCGAUUAUAAUUUUUACAUA